rnacentral:miRNA from 1 species
UUAGGUUGAUGCAAAAGUAAUUGCGGUUUUAGCCAUUAAAAGGAAUGGGAAAAACCAUAGUUACUUUUGCACCAACCUAAUA